UCUGCGCAAGCAGGGAGUGGCGGACGGGUGAGGAACAUGUGGGUCAUCUGCCUUUGGGUGAGGAAUACCGGCGAGAAAUCGCCGACAAAACCGCAUACGCUUCGCGAGAAGCAAAGUCGCAAGACGCCCGAAGAGGAGCCUGCACCCGAUUAGUUAGUUGGUGGGGUAACGGCCUACCAAGACGACGAUCGGUAGCUGGUCUGAGAGGACGAUCAGCCACACUGGGAUUGAGAACGGCCCAGACUCCUACGGGGGGCAGCAGUGAGGAAUAUUCGUCAAUGGGGGAAACCCUGAACGAGCAACGCCGCGUGCAGGAAGAAGGUCUUCGGA
rnacentral:rRNA from 1 species